GGUUAACGGGGAAUUAGGGUUCAAUUCCGGAGAGGGAGCCUGAGAAACGGCUACCACAUCUAAGGAAGGCAGCAGGCGCGCAAAUUACCCAAUUCUAACAGCAUAAGAGAGGUAGUGACAAGAAAUAACAGUACAAGGCAGUUAAAAUGCUUUGUAAUUGGAAUGAUAGAAAUUUAAAUACUUUUUAAAGUAUCAAUUGGAGGGCAAGUCUGGUGCCAGCAGCCGCGGUAAUUCCAGCUCCAAUAGCGUAUAUUAAAAUUGUUGCAGUUAAAAAGCUCGUAGUUGAAUUUUUGCUAAAAAUAACCGGUCUGCUUUUAUUAAUAAAAGUGGUAUCUUGGUGUGUUUUUAGCAAUAAUGUCCUUUGAAAUGUUUUUUACUUUAUUGUAAGAGGCAAUUUUCAGGAUUUUUACUUUGAGAAAAUUAGAGUGUUUCAAGCAGGCUAACGUUUUGAAUACUGCAGCAUGGAAUAAUAAAAUAGGAUUUUAGUUCUACGUUAUUGGUUUUAAGAACUAAAUUAAUGAUUGAUAGGAGCAGUUGGGGGCAUUUGUAUUUAACUGUCAGAGGUG
rnacentral:rRNA from 1 species